AUUGAACGCUGGCGGCAGGCCUAACACAUGCAAGUCGAGCGAGCGGCGGACGGGUGAGUAAUGUCUGGGAAACUGCCUGAUGGAGGGGGAUAACUACUGGAAAAGGUAGCUAAUACCGCAUACCAUAAGAAGUGCCCAGAUGGGAUUAGCUAGUAGGUGGGGUAACUGCUCACCUAGGCGACGAUCCCUAGCUGGUCUGAGAGGAUGACCAGCCUCACUGUAACUGUGACACGUUCCAGACGCCGCUGGGAGGCAGCAGUGGGGAAUAGUGCACUAGGGGCGCAAGCCUGAUGCAGCCAUGCCGGGUGUGUGAAGAAGGCCUUCGGUUUGUAAAGCACUUUCAGCGGGGAGGCGUUACCCGCAGAAGAAGCACCGGCUAACUCCGUGCCAGCAGCCGCGGUAAUAC
rnacentral:rRNA from 1 species